rnacentral:rRNA from 1 species
UACAGAGGUCCCAAGCGUUGUUCGGAUUUACUGGGCGUAAAGGGUGCGUAGGUGGCGAGGUAAGUUCGAUGUGAAAUCUCCGAGCUCAACUCGGAAAUGGCAUUGAAUACUAUCCCGCUUGAGGGUCGGAGGGGAGACUGGAAUUCUCGGUGUAGCAGUGAAAUGCGUAGAUAUCGAGAGGAACACCAGUGGCGAAGGCGGCAUCCUGGACCAAUAUUGACGCUGAGGAGCGAAAGCCAGGGGAGCGAACAGG